UACGUAGGGUGCAAGCGUUGUCCGGAAUUAUUGGGCGUAAAGAGCUCGUAGGCGGUUUGUCGCGUCUGCUGUGAAAACUCGGGGCUUAACCCCGGGCCUGCAGUGGGUACGGGCAGACUAGAGUGCGGUAGGGGAGACUGGAAUUCCUGGUGUAGCGGUGAAAUGCGUAGAUAUCAGGAGGAACACCGGUGGUGUAGACGCUUUCUGGACCAUUGCUGACGCUGAGACACGAAAGCGUGGGUAGCAAACAGG
rnacentral:rRNA from 1 species